rnacentral:misc_RNA from 1 species
UUUCCGUAGGUGAACCUGCGGAAGGAUCAUUAUCGUACAACAUGUGAGGGGCGUGCGAGGGCUGUCGCUGACCCAAAAUUCGUGCACGCCCGAGUGUGUCCUCUUGCAUCAUAAUCCAUCUCACCCUUUGUGCAUCACCGCGUGGGCACCCUUCGGGAUCAUCUCGGAGGGGGGCUCGCGUUUUCACACAAACCCCCCUUUUAAAAGUGUAGAAUGACCACAUUUAUGCAAUCAAUACAACUUUCAACAACGGAUCUCUUGGCUCUC